UUACGGCCACAUCACGUUGAAAUACCGGUUCCCGUACGAUCACCGAAGAUAAGCAACAUCGAUCCUGGUCUGUAACUAGAUGGGUGAUGGCUUAGGAAUACGAGCU